rnacentral:rRNA from 1 species
AGUGAACGCUGGCGGUAGGCCUAACACAUGCAAGUCGAACGGCAGCACAGUAAGAGCUUGCUCUUACGGGUGGCGAGUGGCGGACGGGUGAGGAAUACAUCGGAAUCUACUUUUUCGUGGGGGAUAACGUAGGGAAACUUACGCUAAUACCGCAUACGACCUACGGGUGAAAGCAGGGGAUCUUCGGACCUUGCGCGAUUGAAUGAGCCGAUGUCGGAUUAGCUAGUUGGCGGGGUAAAGGCCCACCAAGGCGACGAUCCGUAGCUGGUCUGAGAGGAUGAUCAGCGACACUGGAACUGAGACACGGUCCAGACUCCUAAGGGAGGCAGCAGUGGGGAAUAUUGGACAAUGGGCGCAAGCCUGAUCCAGACAUACCGCGUGGGUGAAGAAGGCCUUCGGGUUGUAAAGCCCUUUUGUUGGGAAAGAAAAGCAGCAGGUUAAUACCCCGCUGUUCUGACGGUACCAAAAGAAUAAGCACCGGCUAACUUAGUG